GCCUCGUUAGCUCAGUUGGUAGGGCAGCUGACUCUUAAUCAGUUUGUCCACGGUUCGAGCCCGUGACGGGGUACCA
rnacentral:tRNA from 1 species